GGUGAGAAUCCCACAGGCCGUAAACCCAAGGUUUCCAGGGGAAGGUUCGUCCGCCCUGGGUUAGUCGGGACCUAAGCUGAGGCCGAAAGGCGUAGGUGAUGGACAACAGGUUGAUAUUCCUGUACUACCGAUAACCGUUUGAGAGAUGGGAUGACACAGUAGGAUAAGCUAAGCACACUGUUGGUUAUGUGUGCCCAAGCAUUGAGGCAGUCAAAG
rnacentral:rRNA from 1 species